rnacentral:sRNA from 1 species
AUCUAAACCCGACCUGAGUGAAUGCCCACGAUUCUUCAUCGUGGCAGUAACGGGGGCGGGGCUAAAA